rnacentral:snRNA from 1 species
GUGCUCACUUUGACAGCACAUUUACUAAAAUUGAAAUGAUACAGAGAAGAUUAGCAUGGCCCCCUGUGCAAGGAUGACACUCAAAUUCAUGAAGCAUUCCAUGUUUUU